rnacentral:rRNA from 1 species
GAAACUGCGAAUGGCUCAUUAUAUCAGUUAUAAUUUAUUUGAUAGUCUCUUUACUACUCGGAUAACCGUGGUAAUUCUAUAGCUAAUACGUGCUUAUAGCCUGACUGCUUGCGGAAGGGCUGCAUUUAUUAGAUAAAAAACCAAUGCCAGCAAUGGCCACUGGUGAUUCAUAAUAACUGUGCGGAUCGUAUGGCCUUGCGCCGACGACGUUUCAUUCAAAUUUCUGCCCUAUCAACUUUCGAUGGUAGGAUAUAGGCCUACCAUGGUUUUAACGGGUAACGGGGAAUUAGGGUUCGAUUCCGGAGAGGGAGCCUGAGAAACGGCUACCACAUCCAAGGAAGGCAGCAGGCGCGCAAAUUACCCAAUCCUGACACAGGUAGGUAGUGACAGUAAAUAACUAUGCAGGGCCCUACGGGUUCUGCANUCGGAAUGAGUANCAUUUAAAUCCCUUANCGAGUAACAAUGGNAGGGGCAGUCUGGUGCCAGCAGCCGCGGUAAUUCAGCUCCANUAGCGUAUAUUAAAGUGGUNGCAGUUAAAAA